rnacentral:rRNA from 1 species
GACGAACGUUGGCGGCGUGCCUAAUACAUGCAAGUCAACUGAAGCAGUGGUAGCAAUAUCGCUGUGGCGGUGGCGCCCGGGGGAGUAACAAGUAGGUAAUCUGCCUUCAGGUCUGGCAUAACUCCGGGAAACCGGGGCUAAUAGCAGAGGAUGCAGUGUCUCACCAUCGAGACAGUUGUUAAAGCACGGUCGUGUGAAGAUUAGUCUGCGUCUGAUUGGCUAGUUGGCGGGGUAACGGCGCACCAAGUCAACGAUCAGUCGCUGGGCUGAGAGGAUGAUCAGGCACAGUGGAACGGAGACAAGGCCCAGACUAGGACGGGGGGCAGCAGUAAGGAAAAUUGCUCAAUGGGAGAAAUACUGAAGCAGCAACGGCGCGUGAGGGACGAAGGGCUUUUGCUUGUAAACCUCUGUAGUGAGAGAAAAAAAUCCCAAUCUUUGGGACAUGAUGGUAUCUCAAAAGUAAGCCCCGGCUAACUACGUG